GGGGAAUAUUGGACAAUGGGCGCAAGCCUGAUCCAGCCAUGCCGCGUGAGUGAUGAAGGCCCUAGGGUUGUAAAGCUCUUUCACCGGUGAAGAUAAUGACGGUAACCGGAGAAGAAGCCCCGGCUAACUUCGUGCCAGCAGCCGCGGUAAUACGAAGGGGGCUAGCGUUGUUCGGAAUUACUGGGCGUAAAGCGCACGUAGGCGGAUUGUUAAGUUAGGGGUGAAAUCCCAGGGCUCAACCCUGGAACUGCCUUUAAUACUGGCAAUCUAGAGUCCGAGAGAGGUGAGUGGAAUUCCGAGUGUAGAGGUGAAAUUCGUAGAUAUUCGGAGGAACACCAGUGGCGAAGGCGGCUCACUGGCUCGGUACUGACGCUGAGGUGCGAAAGCGUGGGGAGCAAAC
rnacentral:rRNA from 1 species